UGGGGAAUUUUGGACAAUGGGCGCAAGCCUGAUCCAGCAAUGCCGCGUGCAGGAUGAAGGCCUUCGGGUUGUAAACUGCUUUUGUACGGAGCGAAAAGGUCUGCCCUAAUACGGUGGGCUCAUGACGGUACCGUAAGAAUAAGCACCGGCUAACUACGUGCCAGCAGCCGCGGUAAUACGUAGGGUGCGAGCGUUAAUCGGAAUUACUGGGCGUAAAGCGUGCGCAGGCGGUUAUGUAAGACAGAGGUGAAAUCCCCGGGCUCAACCUGGGACCUGCAUUUGUGACUGUAUAGCUAGAGUACGGUAGAGGGGGAUGGAAUUCCGCGUGUAGCAGUGAAAUGCGUAGAUAUGCGGAGGAACACCGAUGGCGAAGGCAAUCCCCUGGACCUAUACUGACGCUCAUGCACGAAAGCGUGGGGAGCAAACA
rnacentral:rRNA from 1 species